AGCUGACGUGGUCCAUGCUCUGAGGAUCUCCGAAAAACUGAUUGCUGUUUGGUCAAAGUCAGAAGUCUCUGCCUUUUGAAGACAGUUCUUAUUUUUCAUUUCAUACACUACUCUUCCGUAUACUGGAAGGCACUGGAUCGAAGCAACAGACAAGCAACCAAGUGCGAGAAGGAGAGCGGAUUGGGAGAAGGGAAGAGGGAAUGGGCUCGACCCAGGUUCGGCUGCCGGAGCGGAGCUGAAGCGAAGCUGAAGCUUCUCGUCUCCUGGAGAAAGCCGCAGCUCCUCUCGCAGCAAAAAAUUUGAAAUGCCCAGUUUUAAGUGGCUCAGCACUGCAACCCCAGCGCUGACUCGGGAGAGACGAAGAUGAGCACACAUUAAUACAGAUCUCUGUGUACGGUUUUAUAGAAAAAAUCACAGUUAAAUGUGGUAUUAACACCAUUAUAUUUGUAUAGGUACACCAGUGAUUCCACAAUCUAAAUGACCAAUGCCAUGCUUGAAAAGCUGUGUUUCCAUUAUUUUGUUAAAGCUGCAAGUAUCACAAUUACAGACUAUUCCAACAUAACUCUAAGCACCCUCCUAAGCAUAAUAUAAAUGCAUUCUGUAGGCAUGGAAGUGAGGUCAUGCUUAAGUUUUUAAAAAAUACCCAAUUUGCUAUUGGCUGGCUUCCUCUACAAGUCUGCAAGGUCAAACCUUUUCUUGUAAGUGGAAGAUACAAUUUAGGCCAUUUUUCUUAUAUUUUAAAACAUUUGAGCAAUUGGUAAUCAAUAACCUGCACGUCCAUGGGCAUGGG